UUUUUUUUUUUUUUUUUUUCCUCCUUCCCCCCUUUUCCCUCGGCCGGGCUGACAGAUCAGAGUGAGAGGCGCUGGCAAUGGACUCGGAAGCUCGGCUGCCGCUGCUACUGCUCUCCCCUGGGCUCCGGCGAGAGCCUUUCCCUGUCAAGCAAGAGGGGUGAGGAUCAUAUUUUUAUUUUGGAAACUAAAAAGUGCUCCCAGGGUCGGUGAUUAUUAAGGGGAAAUCCCUGAAUAUACUCUCCAGCCAAGAAGGCAGGGCUGCCGGGGCUGCACAAGAAGAGGCAGCAGCCUCCUAUAGCACCACUACAGGCACUGCGAGGACAUAACACCAGAGAGCCGCUCCUCUGCCCUCCGAAACGACAACUUUCCUACCAUCUUGGAGGCAGAGGAAAGGGGGGCCGGGGGGAAAAGUGCACCCGCUGCCGAUAAAGUACACACUUCUACUUCUCAUCUCUGGAAAAAAGUCCACACCGGCCGUCUACACCGGCGCCUGGGGGAGAAAGCAGGGAAGAAACUGGGGGCGCUUGAGAAACGUUUUCAGUUGCUCCACGGGGAAAAAUGUUUCUGCAUCUUCUGAUGGAAAGAAAUCUUGACAAGACACAGGUUUUCCGGGCCAAAAGAUAUCCUCCAGGAACCCGUUGGUCACUGGCAGCAGCAGGGACGAGACGUGUCCCCAGUGCCAUUUAACUGCCUUAUCAUGCUUUCGGCAGAAGAAUGUAACUUAGCCUAGGCUGUCGGCCUUCUGGAGAUGUUCUGUGGACUACCAACCUACAAUUUAUUUAUUUUAUUUGAGAGAGAGAGAGACUCAUCAGCCGACUCCACGCUAAGCCUGGAGCCCAGUCCGGGGCUCAGUCUCACGACCCAUGAGAUCACGACCUGAGCUGAAACCAAGAGUCAGAUGCCCAACCAACUGUACCACCCAGAUGCCCCAGAUUAUGAAAUAUCUUCAAAAAUAGCCAUCCCACAAAGGAAAUAGUGGAUGUUUGACACGUAUAACAUUUCCAACUGUUUUAUCAGACAGGUAUGAGUUAAUUGUUUUAAAAUGCAAAUACAGUGUUAGGUUAAAGUGGGGUUUAGAAAACCAUGUGUGAAUCCCAUAGCUAAUAUUUACUAGCUAUACAAAUGGGCAAGUUCCCUAGACUCUCAAGCCUCAAUGCCCUCAUUCUUAAGACCACUGCUUGAAUAAGAUGAUUUAUAGGACCAUGUAUAGUAUACUAUCUGAAACUUAACCGCCACUCCAUAACUGAACAUUUCUAUUUCUUUUCUUUUCUCUGAGCUCAUAGAAAGUGACUGGAAUCAAAGUAGGACUUGAAUUAGAAAACUGAAGAGGGGCCUUGCCCUAGAAUCGAUCUCCAAAGUCUUGAAGAACAAAUAUCAUAUCAGUUAAAACCCUAUUUACAUAUUUACAAUUUCCUUGGAAGAUUUGUGUGAGAUUUCUCUGUGAUUGAAGUUACUAGUACUUCUGAUUAAAUGAAAAUUAAUUUUGAAA